rnacentral:rRNA from 1 species
CCGUAGGUGAACCUGCGGAAGGAUCAUUACUGAGAGGUCUAAAAAACCACUAGUUGGGGGUCUCUUCCCCUCUAGUAGUUCCUCACAGUUUUGUGCAAAGUCGGGUCAACUUGGUUGGCUCUGCCUUGUGCCUUUGAUCUCUAGUUGGCAUAGAGACCCUCCUUUUAGGAGACUUGUGCCACUAAGAUCUAGGCUGCUUGAAAAGAGACGUAUGGACCCUUCUUUCAGGAGACCUAUGUCUCGAGUCAAAGCAAGCAAGGCAAGCCUUUGGGGCUCUAGUACUAACUAUCCCCAAAGGUGUUUAUUCUUCUCGUGUAAACCAUGAUGUACGAAAAAAGUUAGUUGUUAACUUAAAAACAACUCUKGGCAAKGRWYYUCUUGGUUCUCGCAUCGAUGAAGAGCGUAGCAAAGUGCGAUAAUUAUUGCGACUUGCAUUCAUAGCGAAUCAUCGAGUUCUCSAACGCAUCUUGCGCCUAGUAGUCAAUCUACUAGGCACAGUUGUUUCAGUAUCUGCAACUACCAAUCAGUUCAACUUGGUUCUUUGAACCUAAGCGAACUGGAAAUGGGCUUGUGUUGAUGGCAUUCAGUUGCUGUCAUGGCCUUAAAUACAUUUAGUCCUUAGGCAAUUGGCUUUAGUCAUUUGCCGGAUGUAGACUCUAGAGUGCCUGAGGAGCAACGACUUGGUUAGUGAGUUCAUAAUUCCAAGUCAAUCAGUCUUCUCUUGAACUAGGUCUUAAUCUUUAUGGACUAGUGAGAGGAUCUAACUUGGGUCUUCUCUUAAAACAAACUCACAUCUAGAUCUGAAAUCAACUGAGAUCACCCGCUGAACUUAAGCAUAUCAAUAAGCGGAGGA